AUUGAACGCUGGCGGCAGGCCUUACACAUGCAAGUCGAGCGAGAAAUUUUCUUCGGAAAAGAGUAAAGCGGCGGACGGGUGAGUAACGCGUAGGAAUCUACCUAGUAGUGGGGGACAACAUGUGGAAACGCAUGCUAAUACCGCAUACGCCCUAUGGGGGAAAGCAGGGGAUCUUCGGACCUUGUGCUAUUAGAUGAGCCUGCGUCGGAUUAGUUUGUUGGUAGGGUAAUGGCCUACCAAGACUACGAUCCGUAGCUGGUCUGAGAGGAUGAUCAGCCACACUGGGACUGAGACACGGCCCAGACUCCUACGGGAGGCAGCAGUGGGGAAUAUUGGACAAUGGGCGCAAGCCUGAUCCAGCCAUGCCGCGUGUGUGAAGAAGGCUCUAGGGUUGUAAAGCACUUUCAGUAGGGAGGAAAAGUUAGUAGUUAAUAACUGCUAGCCCUGACGUUACCUACAGAAGAAGCACCGGCAAACUCCGUGCCAGCAGCCGCGGUAAUACGGAGGGUGCGAGCGUUAAUCGGAAUUACUGGGCGUAAAGCGCGCGUAGGCGGUUUGAUAAGCUGGAUGUGAAAGCCCCGGGCUCAACCUGGGAACUGCAUCCAGAACUGUCUGACUAGAAUACAAUAGAGGUGAGUGGAAUUUCCUGUGUAGCGGUGGAAUGCGUAGAUAUUAUGAAGAAUACCAGUGGCGAAGGCGGCCUCCUGGAUCUGUACUGACACUGAGGUGCGAAAGCGUGGGUAGCGAACAGGAUUAGAUACCCUGGUAGUCCACGCCGUAAACGAUGACAACUAGCUGUUGGGAGGCAAUGCCUUUCAGUGGCGCAGCUAACGUUUUAAGUUGUCCGCCUGGGGAGUACGGCCGCAAGGCUA
rnacentral:rRNA from 1 species